UACGGGGGGGGUAAGCGUUGUUCGGAAUUACUGGGCGUAAAGGGCUCGUAGGCGGCCAACUAAGUCAGACGUGAAAUCCCUCAGCUUAACUGGGGAACUGCGUCUGAUACUGGAUGGCUUGGAUUCGGGAGAGGAAUGCGGAAUUCCAGGUGUAGCGGUGAAAUGCGUAGAUAUCAAGCGGAACACCAGUGGCGAAAGCGAGUCCCUGGACAACUCCUGACACUGAGGCACGAAAGCUAGGGGAGCAAACAGG
rnacentral:rRNA from 1 species